AGACCCCCUCGCCACACGGGACACCUACACAUAAAUGGCUUCAGGAGUCGGUCAGCAAGUGGCAUGGAGCUUAGUAGCACCCGUUUCCUCCCUGACACGCAACGGCGACGACGGCGGCGUCGUAGCAGCUUCCUGGCGCGCGCGACGUGCGCUGGAGCCGUUUCUGAUGCCGCCAAGUGUCGUGCUAGACCCCUCGUCCACAACCACAUCAACGGACGAGAACGCCGGCCUCACCUCGACGGAUGUGUACCUCGUCGACUCCCCGUACAAGAGGCGUCGCCCUACCAUCGCGUUUGUUCCGUACGACAAGCCGGCUGCAGGCGAUCAGCGCCAUCACAGCGGCGAGGAAACCGGGGGCGGCACCACAGUAAUGAACGCCGAUGUCCUGGUUCAACCGCACAGGCUUCCACUCGGCGCCGCGGAUGGCGUGCUUGGUGGGAGCGGAGGAAGCGACCCGGCGGCCUCCUUGCUGGGUGAUGGGCGUUCGCAGCGUCGCGUCGUCGCCCGUGCCUCCGCGGGUCCCUACAGCAGGCUGAGCUACAUCAUGGACGAGAGCUGCACACCCUUCACGGCACUGCUCGCUACCCUUCGCGCGGCCGGCUUCACCCGUGUCUCGGGCCGCGCGGCGCUCCUUCACAAAACCCAUUCGCUUCUCUGGGUGAAGCACCUACUGCCGAGCAUGGUGGACCAGCUACGGCAGCCUCAGCCAGGCGCGUAUCGAAAGGUGAACCACUUCCCCGGCACCCACGCACUCGGGCGAAAGGACAAACUUUGCAUGCUGCUGAGACGUGCUGGACAGCGUUGGCAAGCGAGUGGCGAGGUGUCAAGCGCGCUUAGCGGGGCGUGCACAACGAACACAGCAGCGGCGCGCGCGGCGGCGUGGGCGUCCCUGACCCCAGAGAGCUGGCUUCUUCCGCAAGAAGCGGAGGCGUGCGUGCGUGCGAUCCGGCAGCCGUGCCCUUCCGCGGUAGCCGCGCCACUCUUUAUCGUGAAGCCGACGAACCAGGCGGGUGGCCAGGGCAUCUUCCUAAUAUGUGGCGGGAGUGAGGCAGGGGUGGCGUCGCUCACAGCUGCUGUCGGCGAGCUUGGCGGCGGCCACGGCAGCACCUCCCGCGAGGAGAACAUUACUGUUUCCUCCGCCGUGCUCUCAAAGUCAUCGCCGGGCUCCGCUCGUCGCCGGAGAACACUCACUGAGCCAUUCUCCGGUGGUAGCGCGGUUCGUGCCGCCGUGAUAGACGCCCCUGCCGUGGAAACGGAGAGGAGCAAGUACGUUGUGCAGCGAUACAUAGCAAACCCCUUUUUGCUGGAAGGCCGCAAGUUUGACCUGCGGCUGUACGUCGUCGCGACCUCCUACGAUCCUGUGCGGUUGUACCUCUACCGGGAAGGGCUCGUGCGCAUCGCAUCCUCGCCGUACACCCGCACCGUUGCAACCGCUUCGACGGCGCUGACGACACUUGCCGAUGUGUCCGACUUGAAAGCGCACUUGACGAACUUCACCGUGAGCAAAGGGGCGUCGCCGGUGCCGGCGGCGGCGGGUGACGCAGGCGCGGCCGCGUCUGGCGCUGCCACCAGCGGACAGGACACGAAAUGGCCGCUGAGCAGCCUGGAAGCUUAUGUUGCCUCGAUGGGCUAUGACUGGUCCGGUACGUUACAGCGCAUUCACGAACUGCUGCGGCUUGUCUUUCUCUCCGUCACACCCGAAGUCCGAGCAGCGUUGCGCGCGUCGUCGGCGUGCCGGCGAAACAGCGCUGACAGCAAAGCAGUGCGGUCUCUGCCGUCGUCGCCUGCAGUGUCGUCGCACCCUACCGUCAAUGGCGCAUCGCCUUUCUUUGAGAUCUUUGGCGUGGACGUGCUCCUCGUCAAUGACGGCAGCGAGGCCAGCUCCCCCCAUGGCUCGUUAGCCGCGUCGGCAAGCGCCAGCACGUUGCGGCCCGUGCUUCUCGAGGUAAACAUUAUGCCCUCUCUCAGCACACACUACUCGCUCUUCGAUCAGCGCAUCAAGGCGAACUUUAUCGCCGACGCGCUGACGUUGGUGGGUCUGAUGCCACCGCCGUCAAAGGUGGCUUCCUCCGCCGCAGGCGUCCAGGAAACGGCAGGGGGUCCACGGAGCGGUUACAACGACGCCUUCCUCGAUGGAUUGAGCGACAGCGAAGUCCUGAACGUGUGUCUCGCCACGGAAGAGGAGCGCCGGCGUGCCGACAACUUCACACGCCUCCUGCCAACACGCGACUCUGCCAGCAAGUACAGGGCCUUAAUGGAGGUGUCAGGGGGGGACGGAACGUCAACAUCGACGCUGUCCAGCCUCGAUGCAGUGCUGAGCGCUUGGCUGGCGUCUUCGUCGUGAUGACAACGCUGAAGCGGUGUCUCGGAUGUGUCUUGGUAAGGAACGAUGGACCUGCGAAAGUGUGCACAUAGACAAUAGC
rnacentral:misc_RNA from 1 species